UACGGAAGGCAGCAGGGGGAAUAUUGCACAAUGGGCGAAAGCCUGAUGCAGCUAUGCCGCGUGUAUGAAGAAGGCCUUAGGGUUGUAAAGUACUUUCAUCGGGGAGGAAAAAACAAAACUAAUAAUUUUAUUUCUUGACGUUACCCGAAAAAGGAGCACCGGCUAACUCCGUGCCAGCAGCCGCGGUAAUACGGAGGGUGCUAGCGUUAAUCAGAAUUACUGGGCGUAAAGAGCACGUAGGUGGUUUUUUUAAAGUCAGAUGUGAAAUCCCUGGGCUUAACCUAGGAACUGCAUUUUGAAACUGAAAUACUAGAGUAUCGUAGAGGGAGGUAGAAUUCUAGGUGUAGCGGUGAAAUGCGUAGAUAUCUGGAGGAAUACCUGUGGCGAAAGCGGCCUCCUAAACGAAUACUGACACUGAGGGUGCGAAAGCGUGGGGAGCAAACAGGGAUUAGAUACC
rnacentral:rRNA from 1 species